rnacentral:rRNA from 1 species
UACAGAGGGUGCAAGCGUUGCUCGGAAUUAUUGGGCGUAAAGCGCGUGUAGGCGGCUUUGCAAGUCGGGUGUGAAAGCCCUCAGCUCAACUGAGGAAGUGCGCCCGAAACUGCAGAGCUUGAGUACCGGAGAGGGUGGCGGAAUUCCCCAAGUAGAGGUGAAAUUCGUAGAUAUGGGGAGGAACACCGGUGGCGAAGGCGGCCACCUGGACGGAUACUGACGCUGAGACGCGAAAGCGUGGGUAGCAAACAGG